GCGUUAACUGGGACAGAAGGAAGUAGGUUUCAGAGAUUAAAAGUAAAAAAUAAAAAGGUACGGAAUCUUCCGAUUUUGCUUUACACUUUAAAAGUGUUUGUCAUCGUCAAGUUCACCCCUGCUUCGCUGGAGUCGCUGAGGACAAGUGACUGGCAUCGAUAGAAGACCCACAACGACCUCUUAACAUGUUAACGUUAUGCCAGUAUUUGUCAAAGUUCGCAAGGAAUGGUUGCUGCCAUUUAAAAUCAUCCUGAAAUAUAAAGAGCAGCAAAGCUGGCCCGCUGUCUACAACUGCUGUCCGCAGGGAAGUGCUCGUGGGGAAAUUUUGUGGAAAAUCAGGUUGUUUGACAUCAGAGCCAUGGAAACGUGUGAAUGUAAAAUCCAACAUGAGCAGUAACUAAUGGAGUGGAGGUACAGCUUGACCCUGCACAAACUCAGGUGCUGUAUCGUCUCCAGGCCGGUUGGCAGUCAGGGCUACUGUAAACAUCCUUGACUGGAAGCUGGUGUUAGGUUCUGGGGCUUUCAGUCGGAUGUUUGCAGCAGCCAACUGCUAGUACCAUCGCUACGCUUCACUUGCUGUAUAUGUCACGUAAUAUGUGUGAGGUCAUUGACACCACCAUUGGCACACACCUGUACUGUAAGUAUAGUGACUGGUAAAUCAGAGAAUAGUUACGGAAGACAGUGCCCCUCGGGCCAGUCACAGGCGCGUUAUGAUGGAUCCCACGCAACUUCUAGGAGGGACCCGCCCUUCAAAGCAGCCCGAUUGGUUGGGGUUAGGCAUUGACCUCGAGUAGUUAAUAGGGGUGGGUAAAAUAAUUCUUAGAUGCAUCGCGAUUCUCUCUAGAAUGAUUUGAUGCUCGACUCUUAAUCGAAGAAAAAUAAAUGUUUUUUUAUUUAAAAGUUUUAUAUAUAUAUAUAUAUACACAUACAUACAUACA